ensembl:misc_RNA Metazoa_SRP Metazoan signal recognition particle RNA
GCCAGGCGUGGUGCUGCACGCCUAUAAUCCCAGCUACUCGGGAGGCUGAGGCAGGAGAAUCGCUUGAACCUGGGAGACAGGGGCUGCAGUGAGCCGAGAUCUGGCCACUGCACUCCAGCCUGGGUUACAGAGCAAGACUCUGUCUCAA